UACGAAGGGGGCUAGCGUUGCUCGGAAUUACUGGGCGUAAAGCGCACGUAGGCGGCUUUCUAAGUCGGGGGUGAAAUCCUGGAGCUCAACUCCAGAACUGCCUUCGAUACUGGAGAGCUUGAGUCCGGGAGAGGUGAGUGGAAUUGCGGAGUGUAGAGGUGAAAUUCGUAGAUAUUCGCAGGAACACCAGUGGCGAAGGCGGCUCACUGGUCCGAUACUGACGCUGAGACGCGAAAGCGUGGGGAGCGAACAGG
rnacentral:rRNA from 1 species